rnacentral:lncRNA from 1 species
GGAAGACGGAAGCGAUCAUGGCUGUUAAAGUGUCAUCUAAUUGGAAUCCCUGGGAACUCUUCAGAGAAUCCCCAAAGGAUCUAAAAAAUACUGAAAAUAGGAAGGCACUGCACACUGUUGCACGAGCUGACAUCUCCUUAUUCCAGUGGCACUGGUUACAUUUUUGAUCCAUCAGUGCAAAGACACAUCGCAGCAAGAGUGACGAGAUUUCAACACUUUUCGGUCACAAACAACUCAAUUUCCAAAGUGUUUCUCCUGUACAUACUGCCGAUUUCUCUUACUUGUUAUGUGUGCCACAAAUAUCGGGUUUGGUAUGUCAACGGUAUUGAUUCAGGAGAAAUUCCGCCGUCCAAACAGCCCAAUAAAUUCAUGUGGUAGACUAAGUGUAUCUACUCAUUAAAUCAAUGACAGUGAAGUGAGCAAUUUAAGUGGAAUAAUCAAUUCGACUGGAGGAACACAUUUUUCAGAUUUUGUUUUAAGUGGAUGCAGCUAUCCUAUUAAAUGUAUGAAUAAAAGAUAUGCAUGUGUGCACUGCUA